rnacentral:rRNA from 1 species
AUUGAACGCUGGCGGCAGGCCUAACACAUGCAAGUCGAACGAGUGGCGGACGGGUGAGUAAUGUAUGGGAAACUGCCUGAUGGAGGGGGAUAACUACUGGAAACGGUAGCUAAUACCGCAUACCAUCGGAUGUGCCCAAAUGGGAUUAGCUAGUAGGUGGGGUAACGGCUAACCUAGGCGACGAUCCCUAGCUGGUCUGAGAGGAUGACUAGCCACACUGGAACUGAGACACGGUCCAGACUCCUACGGGAGGCAGCAGUGGGGAAGAUUGCGCAAUGGGCGCAAGCCUGAUGCAGCCAUGCCGCGUGUAUGAAGAAGGCAUUCGGGUUGUAAAGUACUUGCAGCGGGGAGGCGUUACCCGCAGAAGAAGCACCGGCUAACUCCGUGCCAGCAGCCGCGGUAAUUC